GAUGAACGCUAGCGGCAGGCCUAAUACAUGCAAGCCGAACGGCAAGUUUGAUAGCAAUAUUGGACCUAGAGUGGCGCAAGGGUGCGUAACACGUAUGCAACCUGCCCGCGACAGGAGGAUAGCUCCCCGAAAGGGGAAUUAACCCUCCAUAACACCAUGAGAAGGCAUCUGAUUAUGGUUAAACCGCAAGGGGUCGCGGAUGGGCAUGCGGUUGAUUAGCUAGUUGGCGGGGUAAAGGCCCACCAAGGCGGUGAUCAAUAGGGGUUCUGAGAGGAAGGUCCCCCACACUGGCACUGGGAUACGGGCCAGACUCCUACGGGAGGCAGCAGUAGGGAAUAUUGGACAAUGGUUGCAAGACUGAUCCAGCCAUGCCGCGUGCAGGAAGAAGGCCUUCUGGGUCGUAAACUGCUUUUUCCUGUGGAUAAAAUACCCGUGCGCGGGGAAUUGAAGGUAACAGGGGAAUAAGCCACGGCUAACUACGUG
rnacentral:rRNA from 1 species